CUUGCUUUGUCACCCAGGCUGGGAUGCAGUGGUGUGAUCUUGACUUACUGCAACCUCUGCCUCCCGGGUUCAAGAGAUUCUCCUGCCUCGGCUUCCUGAGUACCUGGCUAUACAGGCAAAGGCGAGACGCGGCUCUAAACGAUGGCAGCUGCUUUCCCGGAGAGGAACCGGAACCAGCUGGCUAGCGUGACUCUUCUCUGCUCACUACUAGCACGAGGCUUCCCCAGAGCUCACCUUCUCCAGAAGAGUGGAACAUCAAGGACUCUGAUCGCAUUAUUUCCUCCACAUUUCCAUUCCAUUUCAGAACACAUAGCCCAUUCUCAACAGUGUUUGAAAAAUGGAAAUCUACUGUUGAUCAACUGCACAGUCUGAGAAUUAUUUUUAAAUCAUUUUUCUCUUAAUAUGACAUCACUGACUUAAUAUAUGGACAAGAAUGCAAGCCAUCAUAAUAAUUGUUAUCCCACAUUGAUUUAUUAUUCAACCAUUUAUCAUAGUUUUAAACCUUAUCAAAAAGACACAAGUUUUACUAUCAUUUACACCUGGACUUUGCUCAACCGUCAAUAAAUCUCAUGCCACAUCUGA